GAUGAACGCUGGCGGCGUGCUUAACACAUGCAAGUCGAACGGAAAGGCCCAAGCUUGCUUGGGUACUCAAGUGGCGAACGGGUGGGUAACACGUGGGUGAUCUGCCCUGCACUUCGGGAUAAGCCUGGGAAACUGGGCCUAAUACCGGAUAGGACGAUGGUUUGGAUGCCAUUGUGGAAAGUUUUUUCGGUGUGGGAUGAGCUCCCGGCUUAUCAGCUGGUUGGUGGGGUAAUGGCCUACCAAGGCGUCGACGGGUAGCCGGCCUGAGAGGGUGUACGGCCACAUUGGGACUGAGAUACGGCCCAGACUCCUACGGGAGGCAGCAGUGGGGAAUAUUGCACAAUGGGCGCAAGCCUGAUGCAGCGACGCCGCGUGGGGGAUGACGGCCUUCGGGUUGUAAACUCCUUUCGCUAGGGACGAAGCGUUUUUGUGACGGUACCUGGAGAAGAAGCACCGGCUAACUACGUG
rnacentral:rRNA from 1 species